AAAAAAUCUUCUUCCAUUGGGUGAGGAAGUGAAGCUGGGCUGUCUCAGGGCAGCCACAGGCCUAGAGCCGGGUUGGAAAGGAUCAAAGCGCCCAUGAGUGACGUGGAGUGAGAGUGAGUAAAUCUCGCUUGCCUUUUGCAAAGGAAUAGCUAUCAAAGAAAAAGACAUGAAGGUGCUAAAAAAAAAAAUUGGUUAUUUAAAUUGUUUUUUUUUUUUUUUUUUUUAAGGUGAGGGAUGAGCCUAUUGGUCUGCUGAGCGGAACAGCCAACAGAACAUCAAAGGUAAGAAAAGGAUGUUAUUGAUAAAGCACAUUUUCAAAGGAGGCAAGCUGGACUGAUGUCCAUUGUCCAGUGGGCAGAUGCCGUGCCCUCUGAUGGGAAAAGCAUCUGUUGCUAGAGGUGAGGACGGGGAAAGAACGGGUACUGAUGCGGAUGGGCCCGUGGGUAAAUGGGUGGGAAAAUAAAAGGAGCCAUUUUGAUGGCUGCGGGUCCCGAACUUAGAAAUGAGGUCAUCCUGAGAGAAAAGACUGAAAGCUGUGAAGAGUGAGGAAGGUUUCGGAACAGCAGCUGAGGGAACCCGGAGAAGCCCGGGUAAUACGACUGUGGAGUAGCAGUGAAGGCUCAACUGAGAUUAGUUUCCCUCCAGAUUUAUGGUCUCCAUUCUCUGUGGCCGUGAUGUUUCUGUUUCCUCUGGCAGAGCCGUGCUCGAGGGAUGUUUACGGCUAAGGAGGCUCCGCGGGGCACUGCUUGAAGGACACGAAGUCCAUCCAUCUCUCCAGAUGGAAAACCCAGACCGGAAACACAAGAUGGCACAAAUCUUUCCAGUCUGUAAGUGAAGGUAAAAGGGCUCCCAGGUCAGGGUCACGUGACUUCUCCAGACCCGAAGCUCAUGGAACAGGGAAGCUUUCAUGGGAGGGAGGUUAUGCACGCAAAAUCCCCCUGGAGGGUGGCCAGCCCACCGCUAGUGUCGCUGAGCCUUGCCACAAUUUGUUACGGGUUUUCACAAUUGAUACUGAAAGGACUUUAGUGGUAUUUCCUCACUUUCCACAUUUUCUCAAUACGUAGAUUGUCUAAACGUACAAGUGCUGAUGCUUCUGUCAGUCGGUGUUAUCUAGUUGCUCCAAGCAGCUUUCCUAGUUCAUUAUCAGCAGUGUAUCUGAUGUCAUACACCACGAAGCUUCUGAAGCCUGGUAACGGAUCCAUCCGUAAAUCGAGAACCUGGAGCGGGGGAGGGGGGUGUUAUUCAGAAGAGAGAAGGAAUUGUGACCGUUCAGCAGAAUGUUGAUUACAAGUUUAAUUCAAGUUACAUGCAUUGGUGAUUCAGUCCUACAAAACAAGGUGUUUAGGUUAUUAGAUGCCUAAGUGACCUUCUCUUUCCCUGUUUAUGUUAAUAGAUAGUGUCUCUGACGCAGAGUGUUAUUAGAUAGUUUUGCUCAGUUUUCAGAAAAGACCGUGAAUACACAAAUCAGCAGAGGCCAGAUCCUAUGCCCUUCAUAAUGACUAGCGACCAACAAAUCCAUCAUGAAUCUAUUAAAACCGUAUGCCCUGGGAGCAUUACUAGCAAAUUUCACAGUCUGAAUUCUUACCAAGGUGGGAAAUUUUAUGGAUUUCGCUGUUAACAUAAUAUGCAACCUGAUAGUCACGUGAAAAUGUAAUCACGAGCUAUAGUUUUCUUGUUAUUAACUCAAAUUAGGAUAUUGUAUCUAUUUUACUAGAUUUCAAAAAAUCUAAAACUGUUGCAUCUGUAGUUUUAGAUAUAUUUAUAUGUUAUAGUUGGCCUUAAACACUAGUUAAAUUUUAUAGUUAAUGUCUUACUACAGCUGUAGGGGGCUGUUCAUGCAUACUAAGCCUGGUUUGUGGUACUACGAGUAUCUUUGUAAAAAUGACUUACAAAGAAUGAUUCUAUUAUAAAAAUAUAGCUAUUAUUGCUAUACUCCGAAGUCUC
rnacentral:lncRNA from 1 species